CGCUGAGUGAGGACGGAAGAUCACCCAUCUCCAUCCGCCAGAUGGCCUAUGUUUCUGGUCUCUCCUUCGGUAUCAUCAGUGGUGUCUUCUCUGUUAUCAAUAUUUUGGCUGAUGCACUUGGGCCAGGUGUGGUUGGGAUCCAUGGAGACUCACCCUAUUACUUCCUGACUUCAGGUAAGAUCCACCUUCUAUCUAGCCUUUACCCCCCAUCCAUCCUUGUCCCUGAUGUGAUUUAUUGGCCUUCCCUGGGAGACGUCUUUGGCUCAACAUCUCAGGAGCCUGGGAGAUCAGGGAUGUAUCUCCUCCCCAUCUCCCUCCCUGCAGCCUUUCUGACAGCAGCCAUUAUCCUGCUCCAUACCUUUUGGGGAGUUGUGUUCUUUGAUGCCUGUGAGAGGAGACGGUACUGGGCUUUGGGCCUGGUGGUUGGGAGUCACCUACUGACAUCGGGACUGGUGAGUUGGAGACAGGGGCCUGAGUUAGGGAGAAAAGCAUUUAAUGGUGAGUGGGAUGUGGGGGAAAGGGUAUCCUUACUUCUUAACAUUUUUAACUUACCUGGGAGGAGGAGGAAAGG
rnacentral:sRNA from 1 species